AUAGGCAGUAGGUGUCAUGCAAACAAGAGGAAAUACUUUUCCACACAAUACAGAAUUAACCUGUGGCACUCAUUGUCACAGGAUGUUGUGACAGCCAAAAGUACACCUGGUUUCAAAAAAAGAACUAGAUAAGUUCAUGGAGGAUAGGUCCAUCAAUGGCUAUUAGCCAAGAUGUUGUCCAUAGCCUC